AUGAAGAGUUUGAUCCUGGCUCAGGAUGAACGCUAGCGGCAGGCCUAACACAUGCAAGUCGAGGGGCAGCAUAGAUUGCUUGCAAUCUGAUGGCGACCGGCGCACGGGUGCGUAACGCGUAUGAAACCUACCUAAUACAGGGGGAUAGCCCAGAGAAAUUUGGAUUAAUACCCCAUGGUACUGUGGUCUCGCAUGAGAUUAUAGUUAAAGAUUUAUCGGUAUUAGAUGGUCAUGCGUCCUAUUAGUUAGUUGGUAAGGUAACGGCUUACCAAGACUUCGAUAGGUAGGGGCCCUGAGAGGGGGAUCCCCCACACUGGUACUGAGACACGGACCAGACUCCUACGGGAGGCAGCAGUGAGGAAUAUUGGACAAUGGAGGCAACUCUGAUCCAGCCAUGCCGCGUGAAGGAAGAAUGUCCUACGGAUUGUAAACUUCUUUUAUUUGGGAAGAAACUUCUCUACGUGUAGAGAACUGACGGUACCAAACGAAUAAGGACCGGCUAACUCCGUGCCAGCAGCCGCGGUAAUGCGGA
rnacentral:rRNA from 1 species